UUACAAAAGGAACGUCAGCUUAAUUGUUUUCUUGUCAACCAAGAGAUAAAAAAAUAAAGUCAAGAAAGAAACGAGAGCUCAAAAAUAGUUUUUAAACUAUAAGGGUUAUAUAAUGUCGCCCCCAAGAACACGACGGCUUGGCUCUGUUAACUACUUGCUACGGCAAAGGAAAGAGCGAUGGCUGUAUAGGUACGUCAUGUGAACGCUGCUAUUUGAAUAGGAUGGCUCUGACGUCAUCACCCACGCCCUGCCGACGGUCACAUGUUGCGUUUCGCAAUUCUGUUUCACCCACUAAACAGGUUUGUUUUUGGUCUUUCUUUUCAACGUGGGGAGACAUACAGGGACAAAAUCUGACCACUCUUUAACAAUCGUGUCAGGCCACACCACUCACUUUUUUCGUGUUAGGGACUACUUUCUGUCACAGAGUAGAAACUCUUCAAAACGAGCACAAACUAAAAGAAUUACGCAAGCGGUCGAACUUUUUGUCUCAUUAAGUAAUCAUCAUGAGGAGAACUCCAGAACAGCUGCUGAGUGGAUCAGGGAGGGAGAUGAUAUUGCUUAUUACUCCAAAUUUCAGGUCAGUGCUGGAGGAGGGGAGGGGGUGCUGGAGCCUAUCCCAG